GACGAACGCUGGCGGCGUGCCUAAUACAUGCAAGUCGAACGAGAGCAACCGGUGCUUGCACUGGUCAAUCUAGUGGCGAACGGGUGAGUAACACGUGGGUAACCUGCCCAUCAGAGGGGGAUAACAUCCGGAAACGGAUGCUAAAACCGCAUAGGUCUUCGAACCGCAUGGUUUGAAGAGGAAAAGAGGCGCAAGCUUCUGCUGAUGGAUGGACCCGCGGUGCAUUAGCUAGUUGGUGAGGUAACGGCUCACCAAGGCCGUGAUGCAUAGCCGACCUGAGAGGGUGAUCGGCCACAUUGGGACUGAGACACGGCCCAAACUCCUACGGGAGGCAGCAGUAGGGAAUCUUCUGCAAUGGACGCAAGUCUGACGGAGCAACGCCGCGUGAGUGAAGAAGGUUUUCGGAUCGUAAAACUCUGUUGUUAGAGAAGAACAAGUGCUAGAGUAACUGUUAGCGACUUGACGGUAUCUAACCAGAAAGCCACGGCUAACUACGUG
rnacentral:rRNA from 1 species